rnacentral:rRNA from 1 species
AAUAGAUACCCAGGUAGUCCAUGCUGUAAACGUUGGGCGCUAGAUGUGGGGAUCUUUCCACGAUUUCCGUGUCGUAGCUAACGCAUUAAGCGCCCCGCCUGGGGAGUACGGCCGCAAGGCUAAAACUCAAAGGAAUUGACGGGGGCCCGCACAAGCGGCGGAGCAUGCGGAUUAAUUCGAUGCAACGCGAAGAACCUUACCAAGGCUUGACAUGCACCGGAAUACCCUGGAGACAGGGGACUCUUUGAUACUGGUGUGCAGGUGGUGCAUGGUUGUCGUCAGCUCGUGUCGUGAGAUGUUGGGUUAAGUCCCGCAACGAGCGCAACCCUUGUCGCAUGUUGCCAGCACGUUAUGGUGGGGACUCAUGUGAGACUGCCGGGGUCAACUCGGAGGAAGGUGGGGAUGACGUCAAAUCAUCAUGCCCCUUAUGUCUUGGGCUUCACGCAUGCUACAAUGGCCGGUACAGAGGGCUGCGAUGUUGUGAGGCGGAGCGAAUCCCUUAAAGCCGGUCUCAGUUC